rnacentral:rRNA from 1 species
UACGAAGGGGGCUAGCGUUGCUCGGAAUCACUGGGCGUAAAGGGUGCGUAGGCGGGUUUUUAAGUCAGGGGUGAAAUCCUGGAGCUCAACUCCAGAACUGCCUUUGAUACUGAAGAUCUUGAGUUCGGGAGAGGUGAGUGGAACUGCGAGUGUAGAGGUGAAAUUCGUAGAUAUUCGCAAGAACACCAGUGGCGAAGGCGGCUCACUGGCCCGAUACUGACGCUGAGGCGCGAAAGCGUGGGUAGCAAACAGGA